rnacentral:rRNA from 1 species
GAGUGGCGCACGGGUGAGUAACACGUGGGAAUAUACUUCUUAGUAUGGAAUAACUUUUGGAAACGAAAGCUAAUACCAUAUAGUCCCUCCGGGGUAAAGAUUUAUCGCUAAGAAAUUAGCCCGCGUUAGAUUAGCUUGUUGGUGAGGUAAUGGCUCACCAAGGCAACGAUCUAUAGCUGGUUUGAGAGGAUGAUCAGCCACACUGGAACUGAGACACGGUCCAGACUCC